AUGCCUCGUCAUCUAAUUAGUGACGCGCAUGAAUGGAUUAACGAGAUCCCUACUGUCCCUAUCUACUAUCUAGCGAAACCACAGCCAAGGGAACGGGCUUGGAAUAAUUAGCGGGGAAAGAAGACCCUGUUGAGCUUGACUCUAGUCUGGCAGUGUAAGGAGACAUAAGAGGUGUAGCAUAAGUGGGAGAUAUAUUGGCUUCGGCUAAAUAUAUCAAAAAUGAAAUACCACUACUCUUAUUGUUUCCUUACUUACUUGAUAAAAUGGAACGUGUAUCAUUCACUUAGCCAUUACACGGAUAUAUUUAUAUAUUUUAUGGUAUUUUGUUUUGAUGCGAGCUUCUUGUUUAAAGUACCAAGAGUUUGUUAUAUACACCAAACAAAUAUCAAUUAAAUUUACUUAUUAUUAAUAAUGAUUUGUUAAAUUAUAAUUGAAUUUGGUAUAACUAUUAUACUUAGGUAUGAUCCAAUUCAAGGACAUUGCCAGGUGGGGAGUUUGACUGGGGCGGUACAUCUCUCAAAUAAUAACGGAGGUGUCCCAAGGCCAGCUCAGUGCGGACAGAAACCACACAUAGAGCAAAAGGG
rnacentral:rRNA from 1 species